UACGAGGGGUGCAAGCGUUGCUCGGAAUUAUUGGGCGUAAAGGGUAGGUAGGUGGUCUCAUUUGUCAGGGGUGAAAGCCUUGGGCUUAACCCAAGAAGUGCCCCUGAAACGGUGAGACUAGAGUGCUGGAGAGGGUCGUGGAAUUCCUGGUGUAGCGGUGAAAUGCGCAGAUAUCAGGAGGAACACCGGUGGCGAAGGCGGGUCUCUGGACAGUUCCUGACACUGAGGCACGAAGGCCAGGGGAGCAAACGGG
rnacentral:rRNA from 1 species